GUUGUUGUUGUUGCUUGUUGUUUUUCUGGAAGGCACGCGACUUUUUUCGUCUUUUUCACUUGCGUUUACUUAUGGGAAAGAGUUAGAAUUGCCCGCAAUUAACGUAGUUACAUAAAAUAAGCCAGUGGUUUAAAAGUGAUACCUAUACGAUUCCCAGACAAGGCUGAUGGUAAAUCUAUAAAAAAAAUGGAAGGCUAAGGAUCCAUCUUAAGAAUAUUAUCCGAGGAACUUGUUCUGUCCCACAACUUGGAGGGGGGGCAAAACAAGAAGAAGCUCAGUAUACCCAAAUUUCGUCCGCGCCUUGUUAAAUGCAAUCGUUCUGGUGGAGCCCUCGGAGCCUCCGGAAAAGUCGCUGACGAUGGCAAUGCGGUGCGUUAAAAACUUGAGUUGUACCAAAAAAAAGGCAACGCUGGCACCAGAUGCUGAGGAGGAGGUGCCAGCGACCACGAUAACACCGGGAACCCCUGAGCUCAAAUUUUAAAAUAAAUAAAUAAAAAUUACAACUGAAAUUUUAUUUGCUGCUAAGCGCUCAACGUGUGCUGAAUGUGCGCUUUUUCGCUACUUGAUUGAGCGCUCAACGUGUGUUUUCUCCGCUGCUUAAUCGAGCGCUCAACGUGUGCUGAUUGUGUGCU